AUUACCUACGUUAUGGAGGAAGUGAAAUGAGCAUCAGUUUUCUUGGUGGGCCCCCCCAAAUAAACUUUGCCUGGGGCCCCUGAAAAGGUAGAUCAGGCCCUAGCUAUACUGACAAGUGUUUCAUUUUUAAACACAAUAAAUGAUUAUAAAUGAUAAACAUUUUAAAAGCGGUAGGGCAUAAUUGCAGGCCGCCAACGAGAAACAUUCCAGAUUUAUAAUUAAUGCAGCAAAGUCAUUAUGAUGAUCGGCCAUAUUUGGUGCCACCCAAACAUUUAAAUAUGUGUGACACUCAGUUUAAUUGCGUUAAUUAUGUCAGUAUUGCAGUGUUACAUGUAGACCUAUCCUAUAAAAAAGACCAACGAGUUAAGCAAGCUGGAACCAAGGCUGAUCCAGUCACGUCGCUCACUUUCUCUGGAAGGGGUAUUAAAAAGGAAAGAGCGUUGCUCGUGAAAUUCACCAACUUAGAAAAAUUUUUCGUAACACGUCCUUUAAUGCAACAUUCUGGUCGCAGACGUACGUCAUGAUGUCACCCGCAUUUUUCUGCGUCUUCAUAAUAAGCGCCGCCUCAGCACUGACGGUCUUCCGUCAUCCAUUCCGUCCCCAGGGAUCGAAAUGUUUCGAUGAGACGGGGAUGUUCUACAGCGGACGCGAGGUGCACGAUGGAUAUUACAUAUACAAAAAUAUUUACAUAUUUCCACCAGGGUACCAUCCUAGAUUUAAGUCGCAGGUGCGUGAAUAUUUUUUUUUCUAAACCAUCCAGCUUCAUUGACUUAGCUUGAU